rnacentral:rRNA from 1 species
GACGAACGCUGGCGGCGUGCUUAACACAUGCAAGUCGAACGGAAAGGCCCCUUUGGGGGUACUCGAGUGGCGAACGGGUGAGUAACACGUGAGUAACCUGCCCUUGACUUCGGGAUAACUUCAGGAAACUGGGGCUAAUACCGGAUAGGAAUCCUUGCUGCAUGGUGGGGGUUGGAAAGCUUCGGCGGUUUUGGAUGGACUCGCGGCUUAUCAGCUUGUUGGUGGGGUAGUGGCUUACCAAGGCUUUGACGGGUAGCCGGCCUGAGAGGGCGACCGGCCACAUUGGGACUGAGAUACGGCCCAGACUCCUACGGGAGGCAGCAGUGGGGAAUAUUGCACAAUGGGCGGAAGCCUGAUGCAGCAACGCCGCGGGCGGGAUGACGGCCUUCGGGUUGUAAACCGCUUUCAGCAGGGGCGAAGCUUGUGGUGACAGUACCUGCAGAAGAAGCACCGGCUAACUACGUG